CUCCAGCGAAGGGUGGCCAGCUUAGAUGGCUUCAGACACUGAAGCCUCACAUCUUCAUUCAGAUGAACAAAGACUUCUGCAGGAAAGAACGAUGGAGAAGGAAACUGGUGAAGGUUACUCUGAAAUGUUCCUCAGACCUGUGCAGGUUCUCCCGGUCGGACUCCAACCACAUAGAGGAUCUCUGGCCAGGAUGCACUGGCUGCAGCUUCUGUAGAUCAAACAGCGGGCCACUGGUACCGCCGUCACACCUUCAGAUGAUCCCACAUACAGAACUCCCUUCAGAACCAGAACAACACAGAUUCAGGAAUAACAGAGUCAUUUACUUGGAUACUUCAAGGAUUUCAUCCACUCACCAUCAAGUAACUUGAUGGAGUCCAGGCUGACGUCUGGACGUCCAUCUUUGGCCUCUCGCUGUAUUACGUUAGCAGCGGUUCCCUCCAAAGAAAAGCUGCAGCCUUCCAUAUGGCAUCAACACAACCUUCCAGGCAGGAAGCUGCUCCUGAGAAGAUCAUCAUGAACCUGGCGGAGAGAGGUUUAGCCCAAAAAAGAAGCUGUAAGAUAUCCAAGAGGGCCCAGCCAGCUCCAGGAUUGUCCUCUCAUAAGGAGGAUCAUGACACCACCAGUGCAGAGCUUGCUCAGAUUGGCAGCAGGUGGGUGUGAGGCAAGAAGGGCAGCAAAGAAGCCACUUCUGUUCAACAAAUCGUCAUGUGCAGACUAAAGUCCUGCAAGCAGUGCAAGGAUGGACAGCAUAAAACUGAAUCUUCAGGAGACUGAAGCAACAUUACUGUUCUUCUGACUGUUUGGGAUCUGUGGAGAAGAAAAGCUGAGAGCUUCCAUGAGUCCAACAGUAGAGCUUCUUAAACCAAUCCAUGCUUUCAACAUGUUCAGCUGAUAAUAUCUGGCUUUGACACCAUAUUUAGAGAUCAUUAAAUGUAUCCAUAAAACAUAA